rnacentral:rRNA from 1 species
CGCGAGCUGGGUUCAGAACGUCGUGAGACAGUUCGGUCCCUAUCCGGCGCGGGCGCAGGAUAUUUGAGAGGAGCCGUCCCUAGUACGAGAGGACCGGGAUGGACUGGCCGCUGGUGUAUCUGUUAGGAAUCAAUCCUAUGGCAGAGUAGCCAAGCCGGGAGGGGAUAAACGCUGAAGGCAUCUAAGCGUGAAGCCCCCCUCAAGAUGAGAUAUCCCAUUCGUAAGAAGUAAGACCCCUUAGAGAGUAUGAGGUUGAUAGGGCAGAGGUGGAAGUGCAGUAAUGCAUGCAGCUGACUGUCACUAAUAGGUCGAGGGCUUAUCCAG